AGUCGAACGGUAACAGGAAGCAGCUUGCUGCUUUGCUGACGAGUGGCGGACGGGUGAGUAAUGUCUGGGAAACUGCCUGAUGGAGGGGGAUAACUACUGGAAACGGUAGCUAAUACCGCAUAACGUCGCAAGACCAAAGAGGGGGACCUUAGGGCCUCUUGCCAUCGGAUGUGCCCAGAUGGGAUUAGCUAGUAGGUGGGGUAAAGGCUCACCUAGGCGACGAUCCCUAGCUGGUCUGAGAGGAUGACCAGCCACACUGGAACUGAGACACGGUCCAGACUCCUACGGGAGGCAGCAGUGGGGAAUAUUGCACAAUGGGCGCAAGCCUGAUGCAGCCAUGCCGCGUGUAUGAAGAAGGCCUUCGGGUUGUAAAGUACUUUCAGCGGGGAGGAAGGGAGUAAAGUUAAUACCUUUGCUCAUUGACGUUACCCGCAGAAGAAGCACCGGCUAACUCCGUGCCAGCAGCCGCGGUAAUACGGAGGGUGCAAGCGUUAAUCGGAAUUACUGGGCGUAAAGCGCACGCAGGCGGUUUGUUAAGUCAGAUGUGAAAUCCCCGGGCUCAACCUGGGAACUGCAUCUGAUACUGGCAAGCUUGAGUCUCGUA
rnacentral:rRNA from 1 species